AAAAAUAGAAAAGAAAAGAAGACAUCAAUCAGAAGGACCAGUUCGACCGAAGCAUGAGGGCAAAUAUUCUGGCAUUACUUUCCACUGCAUAUGCAAUGCCUGGUUUUAUACUGAAUUUGUUCCCUAAAUUUAAUUUUAGGUAUGAUUCGGCCUGCAAAUGGGUCCAUUUACGGGAACCCUCAGCCAUCAUCCCACUUACACACAUACCCCAUCCAGAUUCAUCUUCAGAAUCAUCGAACAAGUUGACAGCCCAUUGUAAAGGGUUGGAAUUCGAAUUGUUCAUUUCAAUCCAACCACUAAUUGUAGUGUUCUCAUCAAGUUCUGUCUCCACCUUCACAGCAAUUGAUCCUGUUGAGAAAGUUUGAAGGGUAUUUGUUUCUGACAAUGGAGCAGAUGCUUCGACCAUUGUCUCAGGAGCUUUAUGAUGCUACAGAAAGGCCAUGGGAAUGGUGAGGGCUCCAAGCUUGGCAUGGUGACUAGAUGAUUUUCGUAACUGGUGGACACCCAAAAGUGAGAGUUUUAUUCCUCUAGGUAGUUGACAGACAAGUCCGCCGAAUGUACUGAAGCACCGCCCAAUUCCGUCAGAACAUGGUUGCAUUCCAAAUCCAGAAACAGACUGAGCCAUUGAAGCAGUCACAUUUGAUUUUCUUACUUUCAAGCCAAUUGUACUACCAUUAGGCUGAUUCAAGAGUGGUGGCCCAACACAUGAAAGAUCAGCCAGGCCCUUUUUCUGGUUCAAAGAGUUGGUAGUGAUUCCAAGAUCUCUGAACUGAGCUCCCACUGGGGAUGCAAUUGCAGAGAACCAGUCACUAAUAAUUGCUAUGUAUGAUACCUUUGCCAGAGAAAGUGCACUUAGUGAAACUUCGUCAUCACAUUUUGUAGUUCCCACAAGCUCAGCCAGAAGCGCGUCCUUCUCCCGGAUAGUUGUUUCAAAAGUGAACCUUGAAUCAAUUCCAGUUUUAAUUCCUGCUCUACCAAGAGCAUCGUGAUGCUGCUGAUCAACAUUGCCCAACAAUAAUAUUGCCCCCAGCACAUCAAUCUCUCCCCUCACAUGGGUACUCGCUUCUUGAAAUGGACUUCUCUUGGAUGCUUUAUAGAAGGAAAGCGUUCGCUCAACCUUGUCUUGCCUGUCCCUAAGUUUCAUUAGAUCUGAAAAUGCUUCUCGUUGCAACCGCUUCAGGAUCUCAAUCGGAUUUCGGCGAGUAAAAUUUUCCUGGCGAUGAAGGAGACCGUCGACGAAUCCUUGGCCAGAUUUAGCAAGCCCUUUAAUUUUGUCUACCAACAAAGCCACAGGCUCCAUUUCAGAGAAAUUCUAAACGUAAAACCCUAGAGGACCUCUGGAUUUGACUAAGGCGGAGAGUGG
rnacentral:misc_RNA from 1 species